rnacentral:rRNA from 1 species
GACGAACGCUGGCGGCGUGCCUAAUACAUGCAAGUCGAACGCAGUGGGGACGGGUGAGUAACACGUGGGUAACCUCCCAUCAGAGGGGCUAAAACUUGGAAACAGGUGCUAAACCGAUAUUGAUGUAUGAACCCGCGGUGCAUUAGCAAGUUGGUGAGGUAACGGCUCACCAAGGCCACGAGGCAUAGCCUACCUGAGAUGGUGAUCGGCCACACUGGGACUGAGACACGGCCCCGACUCGUACGGGAGGCAGCAGUAGGGAAUCUUCGGCAAUGGACUAAAGUCUGACCGAGCAACGCCGCGUGAGUGAAGAAGGUUUUCGGAUCGUAAGACUCUGUUGUUAGAGAAGCGGUAUCUAACCAGAAAGCCACUGCUAACUACGUGCCAGCAGCCGCGGUAAUAC